UGUGCAAAAAUAUCAUUUAUCUUUUUUCCCCUGAUCUUGCAGACUUUUUCCCCGGAUUCUUUAAACUUUUGAAAGCAACUUUUACUUAUCCUAAUGAAUGCGUCUCUUCAUCUUCUAACUUAUUUCUUCCAAUUAUCUAUUCCAUUCUUCUUCAGUCACAACGCCUCCCUCUCACACCACUUUUACAACUCCUAAUGAACAAGAAUUUCUCAUCUGGCGGAGGUAUUAGGGUAUGGAUUAAUCCCCUAGACAGAGGAUAAAGAACAUGGAUUGCUUUCUCCACGGAGGAUUAGGGCUUCAUCCCCAAUAAGGAUUACACAGCGCAAGCUAUUGAACGAGCAGAGAACGAGAUUAUAAGGAGCGCACCCAAUUGAAGAUGAACAAUAUGUGGAGCAUAUGUUACCAUCUUUUGCAUUGUUUUUCGGGGAAAAUGAUGCGAGACCAUGCAUCCUUUCAUAUAAAGGGGACACGUAAUGUCUGACACGGCAGAGGAAAUCUAUAGAGAAGAAGCAAUCUCCGGUUAUGGGAAAUAUUGGCUGGUGGGUGUUGCAGACUUUCGCCGGCUGAAUUUUGAGGCUUUAUUAAGAAGAUGGAAGUCCUGGUUGUUGCUGAAUUGAGCAACCAAUCAAGCGGGCACAACUGAAGCAAAGAAGGAGAAGGAAAUAGUGGUUGAAGCCGAAGCUGAGAAUGACGAGAAACCGGCACCAUAAAAGUUGUUGUUCCUCCUAAAACAGAAGUUAAGAAUAGUAAAGCCAUAUUAGUCAAAGUGGAAGAACACCAACAACAGAAACAGAAGCACAAAAUAUUUGAUAUGACAGUUAAAAGACAAAUUUUACCCUUCAUUAUUCAUAUGUAAAAAUUUUCUUAUCAUCAUUUUCUUUUCCCCUGUCCUAUUUCAAUUUUUACAGGAAGACAAUUUUUACUCUUCA